AUACGGAGGCUCCGAGCGUUAUGUGGAUUUAUUGGGUUUAAAGGGUGCGCAGGCGGUAGAUUAAGGAGGAGGUGAAAUUUUGCGGCUUAACUGAUAAAGGGCCUGCGGAACUGGUUUACGUAGGUGGAGAUGACGUAGGGAGAAUUUGUGGUGUAGUGGGGAAAUGCAUAGAUAUUAAGAGGAACUUCGAUUGCGCAGGCAGCUUACAAUACUACUACUGACUCUCAGGCACGAAGUCGUUCCGAUCAAACAGCAUUACAUACCCUUGUAGGCCACGCGGUAAACGAUGAUUACUAGCGGUUUCCCAUACAAUGUCAGCGGCUGAUCGAAAGCCUUAAGUAAUCCACCUGUGGAAUACGAUCGCAAGUAUUAAACUCAAUUGCAUUGACUGGG
rnacentral:rRNA from 1 species